AGACUAGGGACAUCUGUACCCUGUAUAAAAAAACAAUUUUUCAUUUGGGUGAAAAGACCCAAAUAAUAAAGGAAGACGAAAAGACCCCGCGGAACUUUACCUUUUCCAGUCUCCACAUACUUAGAAAUACAAAAACAAAAGGUUUGAUUGGGGCAAUCUCGGAACCAUUCAAACUUCCGAUCUUCAACCUAACAGUAUAUAAAACUUAAUAAGGACCAAAAAGAAGUUACCCCGGGGAUAACAGCGUAAUCCAAUUAGAGAGUACACAUCGAAAAUUGGGUUUGCGACCUC
rnacentral:rRNA from 1 species